UACUGCCUCUGAUCUGGUGGUCUCACUAAACAGAGAACAUCCCUGGUCAUCCCUACUGCCUCUGAUCUGGUGGUCUCACUAAACAGAGAACAUCCCUGGUCAUCCCUACUGCCUCUGAUCUGGUGGUCUCACUAAACAGAGAACAUCCCUGGUCAUCCCUACUGCCUCUGAUCUGGUGGUCUCACUAAACAGAGAACAUCCCUGGUCAUCCCUACUGCCUCUGAUCUGGUGGUCUCACUAAACAGAGAACAUCCCUGGUCAUCCCUACUGCCUCUGAUCUGGUGGUCUCACUAAACAGAGAACAUCCCUGGUCAUCCCUACUGCCUCUGAUCUGGUGGACUCACUAAACAGAGAACAUCCCUGGUCAUCCCUACUGCCUCUGAUCUGGUGGUCUCACUAAACAGAGAACAUCCCUGGUCAUCCCUACUGCCUCUGAUCUGGUGGUCUCACUAAACAGAGAACAUCCCUGGUCAUCCCUACUGCCUCUGAUCUGGUGGUCUCACUAAACAGAGAACAUCCCUGGUCAUCCCUACUGCCUCUGAUCUGGUGGUCUCACUAAACAGAGAACAUCCCUGGUCAUCCCUACUGCCUCUGAUCUGGUGGUCUCACUAAACAGAGAACAUCCCUGGUCAUCCCUACUGCCUCUGAUCUGGUGGUCUCACUAAACAGAGAACAUCCCUGGUCAUCCCUACUGCCUCUGAUCUGGUGGUCUCACUAAACAGAGAACAUCCCUGGUCAUCCCUACUGCCUCUGAUCUGGUGGUCUCACUAAACAGAGAACAUCCCUGGUCAUCCCUACUGCCUCUGAUCUGGUGGUCUCACUAAACAGAGAACAUCCCUGGUCAUCCCUACUGCCUCUGAUCUGGUGGACUCACUAAACAGAGAACAUACCUGGUCAUCCCUACUGCCUCUGAUCUGGUGGACUCACUAAACAGAGAACAUACCUGGUCAUCUCUACUGCCUCUGAUCUGGUGGACUCACUAAACAGAGAACAUACCUGGUCAUCCCUACUGCCUCUGAUCUGGUGGACUCACUAAACAGAGAACAUACCUGGUCAUCUCUACUGCCUCUGAUCUGGUGGACUCACUAAACACAUGCUUUGUUUGUAAAUGAUGUCUGAGUGUUGGAGUGUUGCCCCUGGCUGUAGGUAAAUGAUGUCUGAGUGUUGGAGUGUUGCCCCUGGCUAUAGGUAAAUGAUGUCUGAGUGUUGGAGUGUUGCCCCUGGCUAUAGGUAAAUGAUGUCUGAGUGUUGGAGUGUUGCCCCUGGCUAUAGGUAAAUGAUGUCUGAGUGUUGGAGUGUUGCCCUGGCUAUAGGUAAAUGAUGUCUGAGUGUUGGAGUGGUGCCCCUGGCUAUAGGUAAAUGAUGUCUGAGUGUUGGAGUGUUGCCCCUGGCUAUAGGUAAAUGAUGUCUG